UGCCAGCCGCCGCGGUAACACGGGGGGCGCAAGCGUUAUUCGGAAUUAUUGGGCGUAAAGGGCGCGUAGGCGGCCAGGUAAGUCAGAUGUGAAAUUCCGGGGCUCAACCCCGGAGCUGCAUUUGAAACUGCCUGGCUAGAGUAUAGUUAGGGAAAACGGAAUUCCACGUGUAGCGGUGAAAUGCGUAGAUAUGUGGAAGAACACCGGUGGUGAAGACGGUUUUCUGGGCUAAAACUGACGCUGAGGCGCGAAAGCUAGGGGAGCAAACGGGAUUAGAUA
rnacentral:rRNA from 1 species